rnacentral:rRNA from 1 species
UACGUAGGGGGCUAGCGUUGUCCGGAAUCAUUGGGCGUAAAGCGCGUGUAGGCGGCCCGGUAAGUCCGCUGUAAAAGUCGGGGGCUCAACCCUCGAAAGCCGGUGGAUACUGUCGGGCUUGAGUACGGAAGAGGCGAGUGGAAUUCCUGGUGUAGCGGUGAAAUGCGCAGAUAUCAGGAGGAACACCGAUUGCGAAGGCAGCUCGCUGGGACGUUACUGACACUGAGGCGCGAAAGCGUGGGGAGCGAACAGG